rnacentral:lncRNA from 1 species
CAGAAGGCAGAGGCCAAAAAACACAGAAAAUGAGUUACAGGAGCCUCAGCAAGAAGUCUCCUGGGAUGUCACCAUCUCCUGGAAAAUUCUCCUCAAGAGCUUACCAGACAAAUAUAAAUAUAUGCUGGAUGAAGUUUUCAGUGACCUUUAAACUGUUUGCAUUUCAAGAAGAUUCCAAGAAGAGUUUCUGUUGCUGGCAGAUCCUUGGGAUUCUAGGCUUACAUUAAAAAAUCUAAACCAGAUCACACUUCAGGCGAAGCAUCCCAGAAACAUCAUCACUGUGGAAUCUGAGUGUCAAAGAACGACUCCUCCUGUGCUCAAUAAAUGGCAAAUGUUAUUGCAUGUGAGUAAGCCAAAAUCCAGACCCAGGCUCCACUGGCUCAAAAUGGCAAGUUCUUUCCAUUUCUGCAGGUAGGCUUCUCUGGGGCCCAGCCAGGCAGGUGUCUCCUGCUGCCCUUUGUUCCAUGGCACCAGAGGAAUGUUUCCUAGCCUUUAACGGGAGCAGCUCUCACCUCCCUGUGCCUGUGGUCCCUUCCCCACAAUUGUGAAGUGAGAGCCCCUGUCACUGGAGCUCCUUGUCCUCUCCACCUGCAAAGAAAGAGUGCUCUUCUUUUUUAGGACUUUGCUGUCAUUCACCUUGAUGAGAAGCUAGAAGGUGACAAAAAUAGCCAUUAUGAAGAAUCAGCCAAGAAUGUGUUACCCUAAAAUGCCCUCAUGAUCGAUGAUCAGGAACAUCAGUCUCUUGUUCCUAGCACCUUCUGGAUAGAAGGUGACUGCAGUGGACAUAGUUCUUCAGUCUUUGUUCUGUAAAGGCAUGAUUCAGUGCUCAUCAAGAUUUCCCAGGGGGUUUUCAGACAGAUAAGGUGAAGAACAUUCUUCCUACUCUCAAAAAGGUACAGUUCGUGCAGUUCAGAUGGAUUCUUACAUUGUCCAUUGUCUUCAGGGAGCAUUCGUAUUUCCAGUACUCUCUAGAUGAGGUGACAUUCCGUGCUUUAUACCUCUAAACCACUCAUAUUUGGGUAGUUCCUGCUUGGCAUAC